CAGCAAUUUCAUUUAUAUCUCACUCUCAAUGGUUAAUCAGAUCUAAGAUAAAUAUAAACAAUAAUAACAAACUGAAGUUGAUCUGGGUCGACCUCCGGACUCCAUCUUCACAAACUGUGUUCCACCUGAGUCUCCAGAAGCAGAUUUAGUCGACAAGAGUAGCCAAAAGAACACUCCGAUCGUCGCCUCGUCAUAUUUGACAAUGUCUUUUGUCAAUUGUCGAAGAAGUAGACGAAAUGUUAGGAUAAGGCACUCCAAAUCAAGGUUAGGUUGCGCGCGCAAAGUAUGGAAACAAAGAUAUCUGUGAAACCCCGUAAGAUAUACUUAGUAAAAAAUGUUGUAAUAUAUUAGAUGGACCAGCGAUUUAAAAUUUUAUAUUUUCGAUGCUGCCAACUGUAUAGUUUCCGAGAUAUACGGAUAAUGUGCGUAAUUUUAAAUAGGACCACCCUCAUAUUUGACAAUCUUGUUAUGAAUUUUUUAUUACCGAUACAGCAUAUAUCCUGUUAAUGGCCAAUAUUGACCAUUAAUAUGCAGAAACUAG
rnacentral:lncRNA from 1 species